rnacentral:lncRNA from 1 species
CCCUGGACAAAGACCACUCCCCGGUCGAUGUAGAUCACAAUGCGGCCAAAGGUGUAGAGCUGCUUCCCUUCGUGUCGCUUCCCAAUGACGGGCAUGAAGACAAUGUUGUGCUCCUCAGCCUUGGUCUCAAUGAGGUCCUUAAAGUUCAUGGGCACAGAGCUAGCGGCCACGCCAAUGCCCCUCUGAGCCAUGUUCUCAGCCUCCCGCCUCUCCUGCAUGGCCUCGUACUGGAAGUCCUUCCUCCGCUCCGUGUGGGUGAGAUAGGCAAUGUUCUCCCGUGCUCCUGGCUGCAUGUAGGCACCAACGUUGGAGGACACCGCCCGGUUCAUGAUAUCAAGUGCCUCAUUAAAUUUGUCCUUGACAGAUGGAUGUGCCAGCACUUGGUCUGAGAACAUCGACUUCCAACCCAGGUACCACUUGGUGAUCUCCUCAUAAUUUGGGCUGUUACUGAGCCAAGAGCACAGCACCUGCCAAAAAGAAAAAUUACUUGCAUCCAUCGUGGCAACAAAUGAAGGCAAGAUUUCUGAAGUGGCCAUUUGUUUUGUUUUGAUCCUGGUCCUACAGGCUAGUGACACUACUUUACAGGGAUUUAUAGUAGCUAAACAGUCUAGCACUUAUGAAUAUGGAUUUUGGAGUCAGCCUGGUAGCUAAAGUGCCCUUGCAUGUAAACUCUCUGAGCCUCAGCUUCCAUGUCUACACAACAGGGAUACCAUAUCCCCUACCCCAUAGGGUUGCUGAGAGGAGCUGAGAUAAAGCAAAUAAAGUGCUUGGAACAGCUUCUGAUACAUGGCAAAUGUCCAAUAAAUGGUGCCCACUAUG